rnacentral:rRNA from 1 species
UACGGGGGGGGUAAGCGUUGUUCGGAAUUACUGGGCGUAAAGCGUGCGCAGGCGGUGAUGUAAGACAGAUGUGAAAUCCCCGGGCUCAACCUGGGAACUGCAUUUGUGACUGCAUCGCUGGAGUACGGCAGAGGGGGAUGGAAUUCCGCGUGUAGCAGUGAAAUGCGUAGAUAUGCGGAGGAACACCGAUGGCGAAGGCAAUCCCCUGGGCCUGUACUGACGCUCAUGCACGAAAGCGUGGGGAGCAAACAGG